rnacentral:ribozyme from 11 species
AAUCUGGCGGACCACGCUUCAGUAACGACAGGCUUCUGCGGAAAUGAUGAAGAUGUUGCCGCGGUCGACGGAACAGCAGGCAGUGUCGGCUGAUCGAAUGCUGCCGACCACGCUGGUACAACGGGAGAGG